rnacentral:tRNA from 1 species
GUGUCUGUCCGCAGGGUUAAGCGAAUCUUAAAGACUGACUAAACGUGUAGUGCUGAAGGUAGAGGAAUUUCGGACGGGGGUUCAACUCCCCCCAGCUCCACCA